UGUAGCCAUUGCUUUUUAAUCUGGUAUGUCAAGGUGUCUAUUUCUACAUUUGAUCCUUUUUGGAGUCAUCUUCUUGUUCAAAGUGAAAUGAGAUGUCACAAUGAAAAGCAUUUUAGAACCACUGAAACCAAGAGUUACUUUCCUGUAACAUCCCACAAUAUGAUCCAAGCUGCUCUUGUGAUCCUCUCUCUUAGUAGAUUCAUUCAUAAAUUCAAGCAGAGAAAAAACCAACACACAACUCUUAUAAAGAGCAAGGCAAAAGCAUCUGAAAAACAAAUCUUGAUGUCAGUAACCAGAAGUCUUGAAGAGGACGUCAGAAGGGUGGAGUGAAAUAAGCUGCUGUUCAAGGCAAAUACAGACCAACAAGAAACACUUUACAAUUCAUACAAGCAACACCACUUUUGAGAAGAGUGUGACAAAAACCAGGACAAUAAAAAAACUACAACUGCAUGCAAAA